AGAGUUUGAUCCUGGCUCAGGACGAACGCUGGCGGCGUGCCUAAUACAUGCAAGUCGAGCGAGCUUGCCUAGAUGAUUUUAGUGCUUGCACUAAAUGAAACUAGAUACAAGCGAGCGGCGGACGGGUGAGUAACACGUGGGUAACCUGCCCAAGAGACUGGGAUAACACCUGGAAACAGAUGCUAAUACCGGAUAACAACACUAGACGCAUGUCUAGAGUUUGAAAGAUGGUUCUGCUAUCACUCUUGGAUGGACCUGCGGUGCAUUAGCUAGUUGGUAAGGUAACGGCUUACCAAGGCAAUGAUGCAUAGCCGAGUUGAGAGACUGAUCGGCCACAUUGUGACUGAGACACGGCCCAAACUCCUACGGGAGGCAGCAGUAGGGAAUCUUCCACAAUGGACGAAAGUCUGAUGGAGCAACGCCGCGUGAGUGAAGAAGGGUUUCGGCUCGUAAAGCUCUGUUGGUAGUGAAGAAAGAUAGAGGUAGUAACUGGCCUUUAUUUGACGGUAAUUACUUAGAAAGUCACGGCUAACUACGUGCCAGCAGCCGCGGUAAUACGUAGGUGGCAAGCGUUGUCCGGAUUUAUUGGGCGUAAAGCGAGUGCAGGCGGUUCAAUAAGUCUGAUGUGAAAGCCUUCGGCUCAACCGGAGAAUUGCAUCAGAAACUGUUGAACUUGAGUGCAGAAGAGGAGAGUGGAACUCCAUGUGUAGCGGUGGAAUGCGUAGAUAUAUGGAAGAACACCAGUGGCGAAGGCGGCUCUCUGGUCUGCAACUGACGCUGAGGCUCGAAAGCAUGGGUAGCGAACAGGAUUAGAUACCCUGGUAGUCCAUGCCGUAAACGAUGAGGGCUAAGUGUUGGGGAGGUUUCCGCCUCUCAGUGCUGGCAGCUAACGCAUUAAGCACUCCGCCUGGGGAGGUACGACCGCAAGGGUUGAAACUCAAAGGAAUUGACGGGGGCCCGCACAAGCGGUGGAGCAUGUGGUUUAAUUCGAAGCUACGCGAAGAACCUUACCAGGUCUUGACAUCUUGCGCUAACCUUAGAGAUAAGGCGUUCCCUUCGGGGACGCAAUGACAGGUGGUGCAUGGUCGUCGUCAGCUCGUGUCGUGAGAUGUUGGGUUAAGUCCCGCAACGAGCGCAACCCUUAUCUUUAGUAGCCAGCAUUUAGGAUGGGCACUCUAGAGAGGCUGCCAGGGAUAACCUGGAGGAAGGUGGGGAUGACGUCAAAUCAUCAUGCCCCUUAUGACCAGGGCUACACACGUGCUACAAUGGCGUAAACAAAGGGAAGCGACCACGUGAGUGUAAGCGAAUCCAAAAAAUAACGUCUCAGUUCGGAUUGUAGUCUGCAACUCGACUACAUGAAGCUGGAAUCGCUAGUAAUCGUGAAUCAGAAUGUCGCGGUGAAUACGUUCCCGGGUCUUGCACUCACCGCCCGUCA
rnacentral:rRNA from 1 species